rnacentral:rRNA from 1 species
UACGAAGGGUGCAAACGUUGCUCGGAAUUAUUGGGCGUAAAGCGCACGUAGGCGGCUUGGCAAGUCGGAUGUGAAAUCCCUCGGCUCAACCAAGGAAGUGCAUCCGAAACUGCUGAGCUUGAGUACUUAAGAGGAUCGCGGAAUUCCCGGUGUAGAGGUGAAAUUCGUAGAUAUUCGCAAGAACACCAGUGGCGAAGGCGGCUCACUGGCUCGAUACUGACGCUGAGGUGCGAAAGCGUGGGGAGCAAACAGG